UAGUACCUGCGCAGGAUAAACGACUGGCGGACGCGACAUAAGGACAUGCAAAGUGAACGAACUUAACUACAUCUUUUAGUAUUGAGAGCGGUUAGUGGCGGACUGGUGAGUAACACGUAAGCAACCUAGCCUAUCAGAGGGGAAGUAACAGUGAGAAAUCAUUGCUAAUACCGCAUAAGCUAGUAGUAUCACAUGAUACAGCUAGAAAGGAGUAAUCCGCUGAUAGAUGGGCUUGCGCCUGAUUAGCUAGUUGGUGGGGUAACGGCCUACCAAGGCGACGAUCAGUAGCCGAACUGAGAGGUUGAACGGCCACAUUGGGACUGAGAUACGGUCCAGACUCCUACGGGAGGCAGCAGUCGGGAAUAUUGCGCAAUGGAGGAAACUCUGACGCAGUGACGCCGCGUAUAGGAAGAAGGUUUUCGGAUUGUAAACUAUUGUCGUGAGGGAAGAAGAUGACAGUACCUCAGGAGGAAGCUCCGGCUAACUAUGUG
rnacentral:rRNA from 1 species